AGUGUCGUCUUCGGAGCAGGGAGACAGGUGGUGCAUGGUUGUCGUCAGCUCGUGUCGUGAGAUGUUGGGUUAAGUCCCGUAACGAGCGCAACCCUUGUCCUUAGUUACCAGCACGUUAUGGUGGGCACUCUAAGGAGACUGCCGGUGACAAACCGGAGGAAGUGGGGAUGACGUCAAGUCAUCAUGGCCCUUACGGCCUGGGCUACACACGUGCUACAAUGGUCGGUACAAAGGGUUGCCAAGCCGCGAGGUGGAGCUAAUCCCAUAAAAACCGAUCGUAGUCCGGAUCGCAGUCUGCAACUCGACUGCGUGAAGUCGGAAUCGCUAGUAAUCGUGAAUCAGAAUGUCACGGUGAAUACGUUCCCGGGCCUU
rnacentral:rRNA from 1 species